rnacentral:rRNA from 1 species
UACGUAGGCAGCGAGCGUUGUUCGGAGUUAUUGGGCGUAAAGGGCUCGUAGGCGGUCUGUUGCGUCGGGAGUGAAAACUCAGGGCUUAACCCUGAGCCUGCUUCCGAUACGGGCAGACUAGAGGUAUGCAGGGGAGAACGGAAUUCCUGGUGUAGCGGUGAAAUGCGCAGAGAUCGGGAGGAACACCCGUAGCGCAGGCGGCACUCUGGGCCGGUACUGACGCUGAGGAGCGAAAGCGUGGGGAGCAAACAGG